GUGUUUUCAAUGCCAAGGGCAACUGCGCUGAACUCACGGUGCUUUACACAUGAGAUUUCAUCACAGUACUGUGGACUGUGUGACGUCACGUCCGAAGAUAGUGUCUGGCUGUGGACUGUGAUGUCACGUCGGGAGGAGCAUGUCUGGCUGUGGACUGUGAUGUCACGUCGGGAGGAGCAUGUCUGGCUGUGGACUGUGAUGUCAUGUCGGGAGGUGCAUAUCUGGGUGUGGACUGUGAUGUCACAUCGGGAGGUUCAUGUCUGGCUGUGGACUGUGACGUCACGUCGGGAGGUGCAUGUCUGGCUGUGGACUGUGACGUCACGUCGGGAGGUGCAUGUCUGGCUGUGGUCUGUGUGAUGUCACAUGGGGAGGUGCAUGUCUGGCUGUGGACUGUGACGUCACGUCGGGAGGUGCGUGUCUGGCUGUGGACUGUGUGACGUCACGUCGGGAGAUGCAUGUCUGGCUGUGGUCUGUGUGAUGUCACAUGGGGAGGUGUGUGUCUGGCUGUGGACUGUGUGACGUCACGUGGGAAGGUGCAUGUCUGGCUGUGGACUGUGUGACGUCACGUCGGAAGGUGCAUGUCUGGCUGUGGUGUGUGUGACGUCACAUGGGGAGGUGCAUGUCUGGCUGUGGACUGUGUGACGUCACGUCGGGAGGUGCAUGUCUGGCUGUGGACUGUGUGACGUCACGUCGGGAGGUGCGUGUCUGGCUGUGGACUGUGACGUCACGUCAGGAGGUGCGUGUCCGGCUGUGGACUGUGUGAUGUCAUGUUGGAUGGUGCAUGUGUUUUUUUUUUUUUAAUUUUUUUAUUGGUUACAU